UUGACAGACAGUUAUACAUGCCCUACAAGUAGGAGUCAGGUUUUAAACCUAAUGGCUCUUUCAUGAUUAUAUGAUAGGUGGUGCAUGGCCGUUCUUAGUUCGUGGAGUGAUCUGUCUGCUUAAUUGCGUUUCAAAAUUUAACUUGAGGACCGGGUUUUGGUUUGGCUAGUGGUUCUACGAUGACUGUGAACUGUCAUGUCUUCGGAUGUGCGACUAUUGGUCUAGGAUCACAUGACUUGCCCCUGGGACUCUUUUGAACGCAACGGACGUGAUUGCACCCCUUGUUGAGAUUAGAGAUAGUCUCGAUAUUCCUGGACAAACUGGUGCUUUAUGC
rnacentral:rRNA from 1 species